rnacentral:rRNA from 1 species
UGGGGAAUAUUGCACAAUGGGGGAAACCCUGAUGCAGCGACGCCGCGUGAACGAAGAAGGUAUUCGUAUCGUAAAGUUCUGUCCUAUGGGAAGAUAAUGACAGUACCAUAGAAGAAAGCUCCGGCUAAAUACGUGCCAGCAGCCGCGGUAAUACGUAUGGAGCGAGCGUUGUCCGGUAUUAUUGGGCGUAAAGGGUACGCAGGCGGUUUAAUAAGUCGAAUGUUAAAGAUCGGGGCUCAACCCCGCAAAGCAUUGGAAACUGAUAAACUUGAGUAGUGGAGAGGAAAGUGGAAUUCCUAGUGUAGUGGUGAAAUACGUAGAUAUUAGGAGGAAUACCAGUAGCGAAGGCGACUUUCUGGACACAAACUGACGCUGAGGUACGAAAGCGUGGGGAGCAAACAGG